AGUCGAGCGGUAACAGGAAUUAGCUUGCUAAUUUGCUGACGAGCGGCGGACGGGUGAGUAACGCGUAGGAAUCUGCCUGGUAGUGGGGGACAACAUGUGGAAACGCAUGCUAAUACCGCAUACGCCCUACGGGGGAAAGGAGGGGAUCUUCGGACCUUUCGCUAUCAGAUGAGCCUGCGUGAGAUUAGCUAGUUGGUGGGGUAAAGGCUCACCAAGGCGACGAUCUCUAGCUGGUCUGAGAGGAUGAUCAGCCACACUGGGACUGAGACACGGCCCAGACUCCUACGGGAGGCAGCAGUGGGGAAUAUUGGACAAUGGGCGCAAGCCUGAUCCAGCCAUGCCGCGUGUGUGAAGAAGGCCUUCGGGUUGUAAAGCACUUUCAGAAGUGAGGAAGGGUGUAUAGUUAAUACCUGUAUAUCUUGACGUUAGCUUCAGAAGAAGCACCGGCUAACUCUGUGCCAGCAGCCGCGGUAAUACAGAGGGUGCGAGCGUUAAUCGGAAUUACUGGGCGUAAAGCGCGCGUAGGCGGUUUGUUAAGUCGGAUGUGAAAUCCCAGGGCUCAACCUUGGAAUGGCACCCGAUACUGGCAGGCUAGAGUACGGUAGAGGGGUGUGGAAUUUCCUGUGUAGCGGUGAAAUGCGUAGAUAUAGGAAGGAACAUCAGU
rnacentral:rRNA from 1 species